ACUCGUUCCUCUCAAUUCGUAGUUGCUCUCAAAUUCUUAAUCUCUCAGACGUAUCACCCAAAUAUAGUCACCCAUCGCCGAGAGAUUAUCCCUCUCGGCUCCCGCCGUUGCCCGUCGCCCGGAUCCCGGAUCCCGUCUCCCCAGUCCCCACUCUAGUGGAGUUUUUAUCCUGGCUCCGCCACUGCUUCUCAACACAAUUUAACAUAUGCAAAUAUGCAUCAAGCCGAUAUCUAUUUCACACAAUUGAAUCAGAAUUCCUCCCCCAGGAUUGCUACCAAUUUGAUUAGUCAAAUUCCUCAACAGAGCCAGGAAUUUUAUUCAAAUAGUUACGAGCAACUAUCUGAUAGAGGAAAAAAAGUCCAAUGAUAUAAGUUCUUGCGCACACAAGUAAAAUGGAAUGUGCGGCUGCAGUCUUAAUAUGCAUUUGCUAUGAUACUUAAAAGAAGAAGACUUUUGAUACGGGAGAAACAUCCGACAGGAGCAGUUUGGGAAAUACUUUUUAGAGAUUAUGGCAUUUUUAUUUUGUUGGAUAAUACUCAAUUGAAAUGAGUUUUGGUUAUGUUAAAGACCCAUUUGUUUGAUAUUUUAAUGACUUUCGACUGUUUGGGUUUAGUAUUUGACCAAACCUAUUAUAUUUCAUCUCUAUCAUCUUUCUU